GUCGCGAAUAGAAGUCAAAUAAUGUUGAUAAUGGACAAACAUUUGCCUCAGCUGCAUGCCAAGUGCCUGACAUUUUGACAAACAAUACCAUUGAAACAGAAAUACCAGAAAUAUUUGUGUAGGUACUGACGUUGUAUUUUAUUUUUUGGCGCUGUAUUUCGAAAAAAUUGCACUGCUCUUAGCCAAUCAGAAUUGAGAAAUUUUUCAUGUAUUUUUUUGUAAUAUUACUAUUAUUAAAACAGAACAUCAUGAUUUUAUUUAGUUCUGAACACCUGAACACUUGCUCAACAAUCUACUUGGCCACGAUUCUUUGGCAAUAUUCACAGUAUCAACGAAGCAAAUAAUUCUCAUACUGAGGGGUUGCUGUAAUGGGAGAUAAAUAAAGCAAUUGGUUGAAAUUCUACUUUGGCCCGUAAAUUGAUUGGUAAGUGUUGUUUAUAUUUUAACCCAUGCAGUCUACGUAUGUUAACAUAGCAUAUAUUAAAUUACAUACAGAAAUAAAAUGUCCAUACUCGAACUUUUUUGAAAAUCUAACUGUUUUUAAACUUUUUUUUCUUUUUUAACUUUUUUAAACGUUUUUUUGAAAAUCUUGAAAAUUGUCGGCUAAGAUGCGCGCGAUCUUUACAGUUGAAUAAAACUCCAAUAGCCUUUAACUAUUAUAAAUUAUAGAUAAUUUUACGUUUCGUUGCAAUUUUAUACAAUGUUAUGGUAUGUGUCGUCUUAAAAUUGCUUUGAGACAGUGUAUUAAAUUUCUGAAGUCAGAAUCUUGUUACACAAUUGCUUUUCAUACGAGAAGGGUAUGCACAACAUGAUUAUGUUGCCUUCUGCCUGGUCAACGGUGUGAAUCCAAAUGAUAACGUAUAAACCACGUAGGUACAUGUAAUAUAUUGCGAAAUAUUGCAAUGACAAACAUUGAGAUUAUACACACUGCUCAUACAUGUGCAUAAAAAAUUCAAGUAAAUUUGUUAGUAAUUUUACGAGCAAGGGUUCGAAAAAAAUUUUUUAAUCCCUUUUUGUUAAUUUAGGGUUUUGGACCCUGCUAUUACUGUGUAGCGUUCGAACCCCCCCCCCCCCCCCCCCGCCAUUCGCCAAAAUUUGUGGGAAAAGUUAGGGCCCCAAAUUAAAAAUUUGCUCCAGGUUUUCGAAUUUCUAUGGGUGGCCCUGUUCAAAGCUGAAUAAAAACAUAAAAACUUACACGGCGUCAAUUACUAGCCAGAUUUUCUCAAGUUUACUUUCAUAGGGCUCCAAAUGAUCGCUCAUGCUGUAAUUCAGACAUGUCAUUUUCCGCCGGCGACUUCGCAAGCCAUGCUAUCUACUUUGGCUUCCCUCCCAAACACUCUCUGCUGGAGCGUGUUUGCGAGGGAAGCGGAAUUUUUCGGUGAAUUCAGACGGUUUCCAUGGUGCCCUGAUUAUUUUUGCCACCAAAAAUGGAUGAUUUCUUAUAUAAAAGGCUGUAAGAUAUUUAUGAUUAAUAAAAUUUUUAUGUUGAUCUAAGAUUUUGAAAUCAAUGAUAGUUUUAAAAUAAAGACUUAAGUUUAAUCGCAUGAAUUGUUUUACAAAAUCAUGCUCGAAAUUACUUUCAUAUAUUGGUUGUAAUGCUUCAAUUAAAAAGAGAAAGUCCUUGCUUUAUGGUGAUCAGCUAAUAUCCCUCGGAAAGCUUAGAAUCCAUGGUAUUACUAGUACGUACAGUAGUAUUAGAAACGCACGGAGGAAAGGAUUGGGAUGGGACAACCGAGGUCUUGACAACCUGAAGUGUUCCUUGUAUUUUAGUUGGAUCAUUGGUCACUGAAUUUCACCACUGGUUGUCUUAUGCAGGUUUUUACCAUGUUAUACAUUAAAUUUGUCGCACGCAGUGUCAGUGAGAAUUACUCAUCCCAACUUACAGCUUGGGG